GCGCAGGCGCCGAAGCCACACCGCGAAGUACCGUUUUUUCAGGCACAAGGAAGGUUUCACCCCGUUGCCGAAAGACUAAGCGUCCCGUUGGCCAGUGCAACGAAGAACGGAGGAAGCGACGUAAGACACCGCGUAUUCGUAGGCCUUCCGCUGCGGGGAGGAGCACAGGGCCUAGCGGCAGCAAAGCGACGCCCGAGCGCGUCUCGUCUCCCGCUGUCGAUGCAGAGCAUUCUGGGAGUUGUGGUUCGGGCGUGUCGCGGAGCCCGGAUGUAAUUUCGGCUCGGGGCGUGGCGGCCAUUUUGUCUCCCCAUGUUGGGAGACGAUAUCCCAGCCGCGGUGGUGCUGCCGCUUUCGUGUGACUUUGGGUUUCCCGAGCGAGCCCGCAGCUGCACAGCAGUCCGCCUUCCCGUACCCGAGAGAAGCCGCCUCAGACCCCAGCCAGCGGGCACCCCCGGAGGCCCCGAGCCUGGCUGCAGGCCCUAGACCUGCACCAGGGGCCCAACCAGUUACCCGUAGCAUGGGCCACGUUCUCCCGCUGUAGACCGGGCUGAGGCCCGACGGCCACCCCUGGGGGAGGAGUUUUCUUAGCUUCCGGUAGGGCAGCCAGGCCGGGGUCCCACCAGACCCAGGACGUGAUACCGGUGAAGCGGCACAUACAGGAACAAGGCAGGAGGAAAAUAAUAAGCACCUUAAAGUUUCCACUUUUCGGUACCGUACUUCCUGUUAAUGUUUCUAAGCCCGUGAUUCUGGGCCUGAUAAUCAGCCAGCCGUCCUCACAGCAGAGUUGUAAGACGCUGGGCUGCUCAAGCACAAGUUCAUAUCUAGACCCACCGCUGGCGAGCAGCCCUGGACGUCCCGCUUAGCUGUCCUAACCAACUCAGGUGGCCUUGAUCCGCAACAGGACGCGGUACCACGUAAUGAACUGUCCAUUUGAGUGCAAGGAUUUAUAUUUGUUAUUACGAUUUGGGGGUGUUUUUAAGAGGCAGGGUUUUGCCCAGGCUGUUCUCGAAUUUGGGGCUCAAGCGAUCCUCCGACCUCAGCCUCCCAAGUAGCUGGGACUACCCGUGCAUGACACCCUAUCUGGCCCUUGUUUUUUGUUGUUGUUGUUGUUCUUUCUUUUUUCACGUGGUUUCGCACUUGUCACCCAGGCUGGAGUGCAAUGGUGUGUUGUCGGCUCACUGCAACCUGUCUCUCAGGUUGAAGUGAUUCUCGUGUCUCAGUCUUCCGAGUAGCUGGGAUUACAGGCGUGUGCCACCACGCCUGGCUAAUUUUUGUAUUUUUAGUAAAGACGGGGCUUCACUAUAUUGGUCAGGCUGGUCUCGAUUUCCUGACCUCAGGUGAUCUGCCCACCUCAGCCUCCCAAAGUGCUGAUAUUACAGGCGUGAGCCACCACGCCCGGCCCGUAUCCGGCUUUAAGAUUUGUUUUUCACUUGCCCGUGGGAGGAUGUACUUAUCUCAGAUGCUAGAGCCGGGAGACCCUCCCCCCCACCACCCCCAUCUCCUGCAGGAGCUCUGAUCGCAGAUUGGAGUGUCUGAACUCUGCAUCUAUGGACGGUGCUUCUGUAAGCCGGCCGCAACUCUGGAGUGGCAUAGUAAAGUGGCAAAGGCUUUGCCUUUCUGGUUAAAGACCCCAGCACCUCCAGUGAGACCCUUUCCUGUACCCCCACUGAUAUUCUUUAUGGAAUGUUUUGUGCGUGAGUCAGCACAUUUAAUGCCCGUGAAUAGUGACAAAACAUGGUUUGCAGUACCCUAAUGACUGAUGAUGCUGAGAAUCUUUUGAUGUGCUUGUUGGCCGUUUGUACAUCUUUGGAGAAAUUUCUCUUCGUGUCUUUUGUCUAUUUUAUUUUUUUGGGACAGAGUCUCACUCCUAACCCCGGGCUGGAGUGCAGUGGCACGAUCUCCACGCACUACAAUUCUUGUACCUCAGCCUCCCAAGUAGCUGGGAUUACAGGCGCACGCCACCACCCAGCUCAUUUUUUUAUUUUUAGUAGAGGUGGAGUUUUUUGUAGAGAUUGUGUCUCCCUGUGUUGCCCAGGCUGGUCUUGAACUCCUGGGCUCAAACUGUCCUCCCCCCUUAACCUCCCAAAGUGCUGGGAUUACAGGUGUGAGCCAUGGCACCCAGCCCUAGAAUGAUUUUUUAGUUUCCCUUUAAACUUUAUUUUUUUAUUCACUGUAGUGUGGUGGACGGUGGUGCCCCAAAACUUCACAACCACCUAGACAUUCGGAAGGUGACCUUAUUUGGAAUAAGAGAUUUUGCAGAUGUAAUUGAGUUAAAGAUCUGAAGAUGAAAUCAUCAUGAAUUUAGGGUAGGCCGUAAAUCCAAUGACUGACAUCCUUACAAGAAGACAAGAGGACACAGGCACCCGGGGGAAGAGGCCGUAGGAGACCCAGGCAGAGAUUCGGAGCGGUGCCCAUGCCAGGGAUCUCCAGGAGGAGCCAGAAGCUGGGAGAGGCCCUGCAGAUCCUCUCCCAGAGCCUUUGGAGGAGGCACAACCCUGUCCACACCUUGGUCUCCACUUUCUGGCCUCCAGAGCUGUAGGGGAACCCACUUCUGUGGUUUGAAGCCACCAAGUUCGUGGUGACUUAUGGCAGCCCUAGGAAAGUGACAUGCACAGGUAAACCACAUUCACUGCAGGAAAUAUACAAAUCAGCAAAAAGAAAAAAAGCACACAGGGGCACCACCCCCAGAGACAGCCAUGGCUGACAUCCUAGCGGCUGUCACCUCGGAGUGAUGUUCCUAAAAUGCAAACUUCUGAACUGCUUAAAACUCUUCCAGACACCCUCAGGUUGACAUCACAACUCCUUUGUUGGGCCUUCCAAGGCUGGUCCUUCCCGUGGCCUCUUUUCCCUCCGCUCUGUGACAGUCCAUGACGGGCACACUUGCCUAUGCUUGUUCUCCCAGGCAGUGGCCUUGUGUGGGCCUUCAGCUUCCAGUUCCAUGGCCUGGUGGAGGACCCUGUGGUGCAAGCCUUCCUCCAGACCCCCCUGGCCUGGGGCCCAAGACUGGGAAGCCUUUGGACAAGCAGAUAUGAAACACUGGAAAUGAGUGCCGGGAGGAAUGGCCUUCCACGUGCAGCUGGCAUGGCCCAUGUCCAAGCCACUUCAGCGGCUCUUUCUGGCCUUGGUGUAGCACAUCUGGUGAGGUCGAUA
rnacentral:lncRNA from 10 species